GACGAACGCUGGCGGCGUGCUUAACACAUGCAAGUCGAACGGAAAGGCCCUGCUUUUGUGGGGUGCUCGAGUGGCGAACGGGUGAGUACACGUGAGUAACCUGCCCUUGACUUUGGGAUAACUUCAGGAAACUGGGGCUAAUACCGGAUAGGAGCUCCUGCUGCAUGGUGGGGGUUGGAAAGUUUCGGCGGUUGGGGAUGGACUCGCGGCUUAUCAGCUUGUUGGGGGGGUAGUGGCUUACCAAGGCUUUGACGGGUAGCCGGCCUGAGAGGGUGACCGGCCACAUUGGGACUGAGAUACGGCCCAGACUCCUACGGGAGGCAGCAGUGGGGAAUAUUGCACAAUGGGCGGAAGCCUGAUGCAGCAACGCCGCGUGCGGGAUGACGGCCUUCGGGUUGUAAACCGCUUUCGCCUGUGACGAAGCGUGAGUGACGGUAAUGGGUAAAGAAGCACCGGCUAACUACGUG
rnacentral:rRNA from 1 species